UACGUAGGGGGCGAGCGUUGUCCGGAAUUAUUGGGCGUAAAGAGCGUGUAGGCGGUUCGGUAAGUCUGCCGUGAAAUCCUGGGGCUCAACCCCGGGCGUGCGGUGGAUACUGCCGGGCUAGAGGGUGGUAGAGGCGAGUGGAAUUCCCGGUGUAGCGGUGAAAUGCGCAGAUAUCAGGAAGAACACCCGUGGCGAAGGCGGCUCUCUGGGACGGUACUGACGCUGAGACGCGAAAGCGUGGGGAGCGAACAGG
rnacentral:rRNA from 1 species